rnacentral:rRNA from 1 species
GAUGAACGCUGGCGGCGUGCCUAAUACAUGCAAGUCGAGCGAACAGACGAGGAGCUUGCUCCUCUGACGUUAGCGGCGGACGGGUGAGUAACACGUGGAUAACCUACCUAUAAGACUGGGAUAACUUCGGGAAACCGGAGCUAAUACCGGAUAAUAUAUUGAACCGCAUGGUUCAAUAGUGAAAGACGGUUUUGCUGUCACUUAUAGAUGGAUCCGCGCCGCAUUAGCUAGUUGGUAAGGUAACGACUUACCAAGGCAACGAUGCGUAGCCGACCUGAGAGGGUGAUCGGCCACACUGGAACUGAGACACGGUCCAGACUCCUACGGGAGGCAGCAGUAGGGAAUCUUCCGCAAUGGGCGAAAGCCUGACGGAGCAACGCCGCGUGAGUGAUGAAGGUCUUCGGAUCGUAAAACUCUGUUAUUAGGGAAGAACAAAUAUGUAAGUAACUAUGCACGUCUUGACGGUACCUAAUCAGAAAGCCACGGCUAACUACGUG